UGGAAGAGCAGAAAGUGCUUUGAGCUGUUGUGGUGGCUUGAAUAUGCUUGGCCCAGGAAAGGAGAUGUGGCCUUAUUGGAGGAAGUGUGUCACUGGGGGGUGGGCAAUGAGACCCUUCUCCCAGCUACCACAUGGAAGCCAGUCUUCUCUUAGUGGCCUUCAGAUGAAGGUGUAGAACUCUCAGUUCCUCCUGCACCAUGCCUGCCUGGAUGUUACCAUGCUCCUGCCUUGAUGAUAAUGGACUGAACCUCUGAACCUACUCCCAACCUCUGUGACUGGGAAGACAAGAAGAAAGCAAAUGGUACCAUCGGGCCUUGAUGGCGCUGCUUUGAAAUUUGACUUAGAGGAGUGAAUUGAGGGUGCCACAGAGCACAGCUUCUUCCAGAGAAAUCUGAUUGUGACUUUGAAUGUCAUUGGUCUGGAGCCUUGUUACCUGAAUUCCAGACCUUAUUUUCUGAAGACCAGCCAGUGGGCGUGUAUGUCUGAGAGUGGAGUUGGCACACCUAUCUGUACUUCCUGGAUCCUGAGAUUAUUAGUGUGAGCUGCCACAUCCAGUCUUCAGGACCUUCAAAACAGAUGUCUGAGGGGUCUGCACUUUUUGCAUCUUUGCUGAUCCCAAGGCAAUCCUGUAUCGAAGAAGGCCCAGCUCCUUCUGUGUCUACAACAGUUAAAUGUGCCAAUGUGCCAGAUCCCUGGGCAACGCAGGAAUUAGGUGCUUUCUGCCCAUCCAGCGUCUCAGGCCUGGUGUGGGAGGGAAGUCACCCAUGUGUUUUGCUGUGAAGUCACAUGUGUUCCCACUGUGGGCUCCCACCCCAGCCUCCACACAAGAAAACCUGCAGGGGCUCGCUCAGCUGGGUAACAUACACCUCUCUCACUCUUGUUGCCCCCACUCUGCUCUGCGUUGGGUGGCUCCCUGCCCUUUUGGGUUUGUCAAGCAACUCCUCCUGAGCCUGGCUAGUCAAGGACACCAGGCAAACUGAGUGAGGGAAAGAGGUCAAGCACUGGAGUGCCCUGCCACAAUCUGUCCUUCAUGUCACCAGGAAAAAGGAACGACUCGUAUGUUGGCAGCUGGACAAGAAGUCAUGUCUGACCUGUAGGAAAUAAAGCAGCCAGAACCUGGUUAAUACCUGG
rnacentral:lncRNA from 1 species